GUUAUAUGGUCAAGUGAAUAAGCGCAUGCGGUGGAUGCCUAGGCGGCAACAGGCGAUGAAGGACGUGUUAGUCUGCGAUAUGCCUCGGGGAGUCGACAAAUAGACUUUGAUCCGGGGAUUUCCGAAUGGGGAAACCCACUCAAUUUAUUGAGUAUCUUAUAGUGAAUACAUAGCUAUAUGAGGCGAACUCGGGGAACUGAAACAUCUAAGUACCCGAAGGAAAAGAAAUCAACCGAGAUUCCCUAAGUAGCGGCGAGCGAAAGGGGAACAGCCCAGUUACCAUCAAAUACAACAUUAUAGCAAAACGGUCUGGAAAGUCCGACGAUACAGGGUGAUAGUCCCGUAUGUGAAAUGGUGUUGUGUGGGGUAACAAAGAGUAGGUCGGGACACGUGAAAUCCUGAUUGAACAUGGGGGGACCAUCCUCCAAGGCUAAAUACUCGUUGCCGACCGAUAGUGAACUAGUACCGUGAGGGAAAGGCGAAAAGAACCCCGGAGAGGGGAGUGAA
rnacentral:rRNA from 1 species